rnacentral:piRNA from 1 species
GAGGAGAGCAGGUCAUCAAGGUCUGA